rnacentral:rRNA from 1 species
UACGUAGGGGGCAAGCGUUGUCCGGAAUCAUUGGGCGUAAAGAGCGUGUAGGCGGCCCGAUAAGUCCGCUGUGAAAGUCCAGGGCUCAACCCUGGGAUGCCGGUGGAUACUGUCGGGCUCGAGUCCGGAAGAGGAGUGUGGAAUUCCUGGUGUAGCGGUGAAAUGCGCAGAUAUCAGGAGGAACACCAAUGGCGAAGGCAGCACUCUGGGACGUGACUGACGCUGAGGAGCGAAAGCGUGGGGAACAAACAGG